GGGCCCGCACAAGCGGUGGAGCAUGUGGUUUAAUUCGAUGCAACGCGAAAAACCUUACCAGGCCUUGACAUCCUGAGAAUUCGGUAGAGAUACCUUAGUGCCUUCGGGAACUCAGUGACAGGUGUUGCAUGGCUGUCGUCAGCUCGUGUCGUGAGAUGUUGGGUUAAGUCCCGCAACGAGCGCAACCCUUAUCCUUAUUUGCCAGCACAUUAUGGUGGGAACUUUAAGGAGACUGCCGGUGACAAACCGGAGGAAGGAGAGGAUGAUGUCAAGUCAUCAUGGCCCUUACGGCCUGGGCUACACACGUGCUACAAUGGACAGUACAGAGGGCCGCAAUGCCGCGAGGUGGAGCAAA
rnacentral:rRNA from 1 species